UACGAGGGGGGCGAGCGUUGUUCGGAAUUAUUGGGCGUAAAGGGCGCGUAGGCGGUGCGGUAAGUCACCUGUGAAACCUCUGGGCUCAACUCAGAGCCUGCAGGCGAAACUGCCGUGCUGGAGUGUGGGAGAGGUGCGUGGAAUUCCCGGUGUAGCGGUGAAAUGCGUAGAGAUCGGGAAGAACAUCGGUGGCGAAGGCGGCCAGCUGGGCCGUUGCUGACACUGAGGCGCGACAGCGUGGGGAGCAAACAGG
rnacentral:rRNA from 1 species